UGCAGAGGUCUCAAGCGUUGUUCGGAUUCAUUGGGCGUAAAGGGUGCGUAGGUGGCGCGCUAAGUCAGGUGUGAAAUUUCGGAGCUUAACUCCGAAACUGCAUUUGAUACUGGCGUGCUUGAGGACUGGAGAGGAGACUGGAAUUCAUGGUGUAGCAGUGAAAUGCGUAGAGAUCAUGAGGAAGACCAGUGGCGAAGGCGGGUCUCUGGACAGUUCCUGACACUGAGGCACGAAGGCCAGGGGAGCAAACGGG
rnacentral:rRNA from 1 species